rnacentral:rRNA from 1 species
AGAACGAACGCUGGCGGCAGGCUUAACACAUGCAAGUCGAACGGUUGUAGCAAUACAGCAGUGGCAGACGGGUGAGUAACACGUGGGAACCUUCCUAGGGGUACGGAACAACUCAGGGAAACUUGAGCUAAUACCGUAUACGUCCGUGAGGAGAAAGAUUUAUCGCCCCUAGACGGGCCCGCGUAGGAUUAGGUAGUUGGUGAGGUUAACGGCUCACCAAGCCUACGAUCCUUAGCUGAUCUGAGAGGAUGAUCAGCCACACUGGGACUGAGACACGGCCCA